rnacentral:rRNA from 1 species
AUUGAACGCUGGCGGCAGGCCUAACACAUGCAAGUCGAACGAGCGGCGGACGGGUGAGUAAUGUAUGGGGAUCUGCCUGAUAGAGGGGGAUAACUACUGGAAACGGUCGCUAAUACCGCAUACUAUCAGAUGAGCCCAGAUGGGAUUAGCUAGUAGGUGGGGUAAAGGCUCACCUAGGCGACGAUCUCUAGCUGGUCUGAGAGGAUGAUCAGCCACACUGGUACUGAGACACGGCCCAGACUCCUACGGGAGGCAGCAGUGGGGAAUAUUGCGCAAUGGGCGCAAGCCUGAUGCAGCCAUGCCGCGUGUAUGAAGAAGGCCUUCGGGUUGUAAAGUUCUUUCGGUAGGGAGGCGUUACCUACAGAAGAAGCACCGGCUAACUCCGUGCCAGCAGCCGCGGUAAUUC